rnacentral:rRNA from 1 species
UACGGAGGGGGCUAGCGUUGUUCGGAAUUACUGGGCGUAAAGCGCGCGUAGGCGGAUCUGCAAGUCGGGGGUGAAAUCCCGAGGCUCAACCUCGGAACUGCCUUCGAUACUGCGGGUCUCGAGUCCGGGAGAGGUGAGUGGAAUUCCUAGUGUAGAGGUGAAAUUCGUAGAUAUUGGGAAGAACACCGGUGGCGAAGGCGGCAUCCUGGACCAAUUCUGACGCUGAGUGAGCGAAAGCCAGGGGAGCAAACGGG